ensembl:snRNA U1 U1 spliceosomal RNA
AUACUUACCCACAGGGGAGGUACCACGAUCACGAAGGUGGUUUCCCAGGGCGAGGCUCACGCCCUGCACUCCGGAUGGGCUGACCCCGGCCAUUUCUCCAAAUGUGGGAAACGCAACUGCAUUAUUUGUGGUAGUUAGGGACUGCAAUUCACUCUCUCCCCUGG